UGUUCUGUAGCUUAGUUGGUUAAAGCGCCGGACUAGCGAUAACGGAGUCGUGUGUUCGAAUCCCACCAAAACAA
rfam:Aedes albopictus isolate Foshan contig31255, whole genome shotgun sequence.